rnacentral:rRNA from 4 species
UUGACCUCGAAUCAGGUAGGAAUACCCGCUGAACUUAAGCAUAUCAAUAAGCGGAGGAAAAGAAACCAACAGGGAUUGCCCCAGUAACGGCGAGUGAAGCGGCAACAGCUCAAAUUUGAAAUCUGGCUCUCGGGCCCGAGUUGUAAUUUGUAGAGGAUGCUUUUGGUGAGGUGCCUUCCGAGUUCCCUGGAACGGGACGCCAUAGAGGGUGAGAGCCCCGUCUGGUUGGACACCGAUCCUCUGUAAAGCUCCUUCGACGAGUCGAGUAGUUUGGGAAUGCUGCUCUAAAUGGGAGGUAUAUGUCUUCUAAAGCUAAAUACCGGCCAGAGACCGAUAGCGCACAAGUAGAGUGAUCGAAAGAUGAAAAGAACUUUGAAAAGAGAGUUAAACAGUACGUGAAAUUGUUGAAAGGGAAGCGCUUGUGACCAGACUUGGGCUUGGUUGAUCAUCCGGGGUUCUCCCCGGUGCACUCUUCCGGCCCAGGCCAGCAUCAGUUCGCCCUGGGGGACAAAGGCUUCGGGAAUGUGGCUCUCUCCGGGGAGUGUUAU